AGAGUUUGAUCCUGGCUCAGGACGAACGCUGGCGGCGUGCCUAAUACAUGCAAGUCGAGCGGACCGGAUUGGGGCUUGCCUUGAUUCGGUCAGCGGCGGACGGGUGAGUAACACGUGGGCAACCUGCCCGCAAGACCGGGAUAACUCCGGGAAACCGGAGCUAAUACCGGAUAACACCGAAGACCGCAUGGUCUUCGGUUGAAAGGCGGCCUUUGGGCUGUCACUUGCGGAUGGGCCCGCGGCGCAUUAGCUAGUUGGUGAGGUAACGGCUCACCAAGGCGACGAUGCGUAGCCGGCCUGAGAGGGUGACCGGCCACACUGGGACUGAGACACGGCCCAGACUCCUACGGGAGGCAGCAGUAGGGAAUCUUCCGCGAUGGGCGAAAGCCUGACGGAGCGACGCCGCGUGAGCGAAGAAGGCCUUCGGGUCGUAAAGCUCUGUUGUGAGGGACGAAGGAGCGCCGUUCGAAGAGGGCGGCGCGGUGACGGUACCUCACGAGAAAGCCCCGGCUAACUACGUGCCAGCAGCCGCGGU
rnacentral:rRNA from 1 species